ACAUUCAACAUCAGAAAAGUUUCAACCAAAGAUCAAUCUCUUCAAUGGCUUACCUUCCAACAGGAUGAAAAAACGAACAUAAACAGGAGCGCGGUUGAACGAACGAACGAACGAACGACGUAGAGAUUCGUCGUAAAUUGCAUAUUUAAGGUGGUGAUAGAGCGUCCAUACUUUUUUGAUGCCGAAGGCUACAGCAAAAAGUGUACGUGUUAAUGAUACUGAAUAAAGGAGGUUCGAUUGAAUUCCAGAAUUUGGUAACUCACCAGAACAACACGAUCCCGAUACUCGUUGAUUUGUAUGUGUGACUGCACGUAGUCGUUCACCUGUGUACAGAACAAAUUUCUCACUGAUUUUCAAAUUCACAAAAAGGGUCAAUUAUUCAUAUGGAAUAUUGACAAACUGAACUUGAAUACUUACAUUUGCUUUGUCUAAUGUGCUGAGCCCAACGCCGAUGGCAAAUACAGGAAGGCCCUGACGUGAAACAGAACAAGUUUCAGAAACAGGAGAUGGCAAACCUGGAAGGAUUUCUUCAAUGGCUGAUCAACUGCAGAGUCCCAAAUCAAAAAAGAACAAAGAUCAAAUGAGAAUUAGCGAAUGAAAUUGAAGCAAGAAAACAGAAAUUGAUACCCAUCGUGAAGUACGAGAAUGACGAUGCUUGAAUGCGACAGUCUGUGUUAGAACAAGGGUCGGGACAAGAAAGGGAACCUAAGAUCUUACAAGUCACAAUCUUUGGGGGCCAAGCUGGUGUUUAAAUACUAAAGGGGUCGCACACCGACUCAACGCUUCUCCAUGACUCUGUCCAUUUCAAAUGCUGUGGAACUGACGCAAAAGUGAGUGUCUUUUGCCUGGACUGGGAAAAGUAUAAAAGGUAUGUCGGAAUCUCAAAGAAAGGCAACAUUCUGAAUGGGUUCUUCGUGUUUGUUUCCAGUUUUCCCUUUCGUGUUCUUUUUUCAAGAUUCUCCACUAAUCAAUAUAGACCACAAACAUUCAAUCCUGGUCGUCCAACUGGUCGUUACAUAAACCCUUUACCAUUUGAUUCCCAAACCCUGUUGCCACUUAAUUUUCAUCAAAACAAAAUGCCAUUUCCCUUAAUUGUUGGAUCCU